rnacentral:rRNA from 1 species
AUGUUCUUGUCGAGCAUCACAACAAUGGCAAUCAUACAGCGAAUGGAUGGAAGCCACAUGCAUACUGUGAAAAAUGUGCGCGAGAAGUGCAAUGUGGAGAUCACGAGGGAUCACGUGCUGUCGAGAUGCAAGACCUUUGACAAGCAUUGCAGUACCAUCAGCAAGCUGCUCGCCCGUUCUGAAUUUGGAUGGGAUCGAAACCAGAAAAUGAUCGUGAUUCACAAUGAGGAUGCUUGGAAAAUGUACAUUCAGAAAACCAAAGCAGCUGCGUGCUACAGAAACAAAGUUAUCAAGAAUUGGGAUGCGAUAAGUCUAAUAUUCUCCAGAGAUUAUGCUACAAGCGAAGAUGAGAGUGCAGGCACUGAGAAUGCCCAAGAAAUGGCAUUGAAGGGUGCCGAGGAUGUCCGGGAGCUUAUUCAAAAUUCACCUUCAGCAUCUGAACCUAGCAGUCAAGACCAGGGUGGAACGCCGACAUCAAUGCAACCCACUCUACAGAGCACUAGGAGGAAGAGGUUCAGAACAGACGAUGCACUCUUUUGCAUGUCUGGGAAUAUCAAGAAUUCAUUUCAGAUAUCUAUGAAGCCAAAUGAACCUCGAGAGGAACCAGCUAAUGCAUCUCCAAAGGAAAUCUUUGCGGCACUUCAAGAGAUACCAAACUUAGGACGGGGUGAUCUGCUGAGGGCCUACUGCAUUCUCACUAGCAGCGACCGCAAGUUUGAAUCCCUUGUGGCACUUCCAAUGGACAUGAGGAAGGAUUGGUUGAUGUUGGAAAUUGGCAGGAAUUGA